rnacentral:rRNA from 1 species
GACGAACGCUGGCGGCGUGCUUAACACAUGCAAGUCGAACGGAAAGGCCCUGCUUUUGUGGGGUGCUCGAGUGGCGAACGGGUGAGUAACACGUGAGUAACCUGCCCUUGACUUUGGGAUAACUUCAGGUAACUGGGGCUAAUACCGGAUAGGAUCUCCUGCUGCAUGGUGGGGGUUGGAAAGUUUCGGCGGUUGGGGAUGGACUCGCGGCUUAUCAGCUUGUUGGUGGGGUAGUGGCUUACCAAGGCUUUGACGGGUAGCCGGCCUGAGAGGGUGACCGGCCACAUUGGGACUGAGAUACGGCCCAGACUCCUACGGGAGGCAGCAGUGGGGAAUAUUGCACAAUGGGCGGAAGCCUGAUGCAGCAACGCCGCGUGCGGGAUGACGGCCUUCGGGUUGUAAACCGCUUUCGCCUGUGACGAAGCGUGAGUGACGGUAAUGGGUAAAGAAGCACCGGCUAACUACGUG